GCUGGUGUGGCGAAAUUGGCAGACGCAUUUGACUCAAAAUCAAACGAGGUUAAACUCAUAUCGGUUCAAGUCCGAUCAUCAGUACCA
rnacentral:tRNA from 1 species